rnacentral:rRNA from 1 species
GAUGAACGCUGGCGGCGUGCUUAACACAUGCAAGUCGAACGGUGAAGGCGGAGCUUGCUCUGCUGGAUCAGUGGCGAACGGGUGAGUAACACGUGAGCAAUCUGCCCCUGACUCUGGGAUAAGCGCUGGAAACGGCGCCUAAUACUGGAUACGAGCUGCGCAGGCAUCUUCAGCAGCUGGAAAGAAUUUCGGUCAGGGAUGAGCUCGCGGCCUAUCAGCUUGUUGGUGAGGUAAUGGCUCACCAAGGCGUCGACGGGUAGCCGGCCUGAGAGGGUGACCGGCCACACUGGGACUGAGAGACGGCCCAGACUCCUACGGGAGGCAGCAGUGGGGAAUAUUGCACAAUGGGCGAAAGCCUGAUGCAGCAACGCCGCGUGAGGGACGACGGCCUUCGGGUUGUAAACCUCUUUUAGCAGGGAAGAAGCGAAAGUGACGGUACCUGCAGAAAAAGCGCCGGCUAACUACGUG